GCGAGGGGGCGGAGCUGUUCGGCAGCGGAGGAGGCGCAGUGGCUGCUGCAGUGGUAGCGGCCUGAGCCCACUCAGGGAGGAGACUGAGGGCUGGGCGGGGCAGGACGGCGCCCCGGCCGGCAGGUCACUCCAGACCUCGCGUCCACCUGUCCGCUUGAUCUCGCUCCUGCGGGUCAACAGGGCCUGCGUCAGCCCGGCCCAUGGCGGCGUCGGCGGCUUUGUCGGCGGCCGCGGCGGCGGCGGCCCUGUCGGGCCUGGCAGUGAGGCUGUCGCGCUCGGCCGCGGCCCGCACUUCUUACGGCACCUUCUGCAAGGGGCUCACGCGCACGCUGCUCACCUUCUUCGACCUGGCCUGGCGGCUGCGCAUGAACUUCCCCUACUUCUACGUCGUGGCCUCCGUGAUGCUCAACGUCCGCCUGCAGGUGCGGAUCGAGUGAGCGCCGGUGGCCACCGCGGCCGGUCCGGAGCGUCCCGCGGCCGCACGCCCGCGACGAGCAGGGCCGCCGGCAUGGAGGACGGCGGGGCCGCCCGGGUCACCCAGACGCGGCCGGGGUGAGAGGCGGGACGGCCCAGGCGCCCGGACCCUAGACCUUCGCGGGAGGGCGCCGGCCACCGAGCCCCGAGGCCAGCGAGCCCCGGACCCAGCCGUGACCCGCCCACACACGUCGCGGCCGGCGCCGGAUUGCACAGAAACUCACAAAACGGGCCCUUUCCCUCGGGCUCGAGAAAAUUAUCUGAGUGCGGCUGACCUGUUGCCUCACAUGGGCCGAAGAGGGAAACCGGAAAGAAGAAAUUGUGCUGCCGGGACUUGCUUUGACUGGCCCUGACUGAAAAGGACCUGGUGUUUGUAGGUCACCACCUGGUGUUUGCGACUCACCCCUUCUCUAGCCUCAUCGGGAGCCAAAUCUGCCCAGCUAGCUGCCUGUGAGCAGCUGAGUGAGGGACCUGACCAAGGAGGAGAUGAAGAGCCUUCCAGGCUCCGGCCCCCAUGCCCACGAUCACAUGGGAGACUGUCCUCUAGAUGGGCUUGGAUUGGUCCUCGAGGCCCAGAGUGUGCCGCUGACCGGCACACCAACCAGCAUACCAGGAUGCCAGGAGCAGCCCAGAGGGGAGCCAGCGGAGACCCUGGCCCUCACCACCGUCUGCUCUGACACUGGUUGCUCCCGGCCCAAGUACUCAGAGUUCCUGGGACUGAAAACCGCAGUAGUCUGGUCAGCACCAGGCACAGAGUGGCCCAGUCUCACAGCAUCAGCGCUCCUCAGCUGCCCAGCUGGAGCCCAGGUCCAAGGUGAAGAUCACCUGCCUCACCCUGGGAACUGAGACUGGACCGAGGCCACCACGUGCCCCCUGCAGUUGCCCACAGACAGGGCCUGAUGGCUUCCUUCCUUGUGCCAAGUCUCCCGGGCGCCCCCAGUCCUGGUGGUCCCACCUCCACUCCAACCCUGUCCACCCUGGACUACUUCUGGUAGCCUGCCAGCAUGCCAGCUCCGUCCAGAAAUCUCUGGGGACAGCCUCGGAGCAAGGAGAGCAGCACAGGCUGCACGAAAGGGGAGGAGGACGAGGGUGCUCCUGGGGGCUGAUACACCCUCUGGGGGACUGGAUCCCCAGCUCCAGCCUCUUCCUGGGCCAGGCAGGGAGGAGGGAGGCCUGAGAUGGGCUGGAGGGAGGCUCCUCACUGAUUGUCCGGGUCCCACAGGCAGAAAUGUGUGUAAGCCUCAGGGGCCCUUGGCCUCAGGGACCUGCUCCCCUGCAGAGAAGCUCCACCCCAUACAGAGGGGCACUGGAAGUGGCUCUGGGUGGAGCUGGCUGUGGCUGUGUCUGCUCCAAGGGAAUGGCUGGGGGACGGGCCAGGGACUGGUCCUCAGCCUCUGUUCCUGCCACUGCUUUUUGUACCGUUCUGGCCUUGACUAGUGAGCUGCUUCUGCUUUCCCACCUCCCCUCACCCCCCACUGGGCCCUGGCCACCGGAUGGGCUCUCAAUGCACUUUAUUUAUUUGCAAGUCUGUUUUCCAGGCAGCGGAACUUCUACAAAAUCAGAGACACCGACUCAAAUAAGUUGACUUUCACUUUUCUGCGUGUGUUAACUACUGGUCAGCACAAUCUGGUCAGAAAGAUGUUCUUGUUUCUGGUGUUAUCAAGUUUUGUUGUCUCUCUAAGUUAAAAAAGAAAAGUCCUUGAGUUCAAUAAAGUCAAAUAAAACUGGAGGCCUCCUG
ensembl:lncRNA